rnacentral:tRNA from 1 species
ACAUACUUAGCCUAAUGGAAAAGGCACUUGACUUAGGAUCAAGCAAUUGCAGGUUCAAAUCCUGUAGUGUGAC